rnacentral:rRNA from 1 species
UACAGAGGUCCCAAGCGUUGUUCGGAUUCACUGGGCGUAAAGGGUGCGUAGGCGGUCGGGGUAAGUCUGAUGUGAAAUCUCACAGCUUAACUGUGAAACUGCAUUGGAUACUAUCCGGCUCGAGGAAUGGAGGGGAGACUGGAAUACUUGGUGUAGCGGUGAAAUGCGCAGAUAUCAGGAGGAACACCGGUGGCGAAGGCGGGUCUCUGGGCAAUAACUGACGCUGAGGAGCGAAAGCGUGGGGAGCGAACAGG